rnacentral:misc_RNA from 1 species
CAACAAACUAGAAGAGAAAAAGGAAAGCAAAAUUCUCAAGUUCUUGGGGUUUAUGUGGAAUCCAUUAUCAUGGGUCAUGGAAGCUGCAGCUGUUAUGGCAAUUGCAUUGGCAAAUGGUAGUGGGCAACCCCCAGAUUGGCAAGAUUUUGUUGGUAUUGUUUGCUUGCUUGUUAUCAACUCUACUAUCAGUUUUAUUGAAGAAAAUAAUGCUGGUAAUGCUGCUGCUGCUCUUAUGGCUGGUCUUGCUCCUAAAACUAAGGUGCUUAGGGAUGGAAAAUGGACUGAGGAUGAAGCUGCAAUUCUGGUUCCUGGAGACAUCAUUAGUGUCAAAUUGGGAGAUAUCAUCCCUGCUGAUGCUCGUCUUCUAGAGGGUGAUCCGUUGAAGGUUGAUCAGUCUGCCCUUACUGGAGAAUCACUUCCAGUGACCAAGAAUCCUGGGGAUGAAGUUUUCUCUGGUUCCACUUGCAAACAAGGAGAAAUUGAGGCUGUUGUCAUAGCAACUGGUGUUCAUACCUUCUUUGGAAAGGCUGCACACCUUGUGGACAGCACCAACCAAGUUGGGCACUUCCAGAAGGUGCUUACUGCUAUUGGGAACUUCUGUAUUUGUUCCAUUGCACUUGGAAUGUUGAUUGAGAUCAUUGUCAUGUACCCUAUUCAGCACCGCAAAUAUAGAGAUGGAAUUGACAAUCUUUUGGUUCUCUUGAUUGGAGGUAUCCCAAUUGCUAUGCCAACAGUCUUGUCCGUAACAAUGGCUAUUGGGUCACACAAGUUGUCUCAACAGGGGGCCAUCACUAAGCGUAUGACUGCCAUUGAAGAGAUGGCUGGUAUGGAUGUGCUUUGCAGUGACAAAACUGGGACUCUGACUCUCAACAAACUGAGUAUUGACAAAAACUUGAUUGAGGUGUUCGCAAAGGGUGUGGAAAAAGAUCAUGUGAUCCUGCUUGCUGCCAGGGCUUCUAGAGUGGAGAAUCAGGAUGCAAUUGAUGCUGCUAUGGUUGGAAUGCUUGCUGAUCCAAAAGAGGCAAGAGCUGGAAUAAGAGAGGUGCACUUCUUGCCAUUUAAUCCUGUCGACAAGAGGACUGCUUUGACUUACAUUGAUGCUAGUGGCAACUGGCACCGAGCAAGUAAAGGUGCCCCUGAGCAGAUGUUGAACUUAUGCAAUGCAAGGGAAGAUCUUAGGAAGAAAGUCCAUUCAGUUAUAGACAAGUUUGCUGAGCGUGGGCUUCGGUCAUUGGCUGUUGCUAGACAGCAAGUGCCUGAGAAAACAAAGGAAAGUUCAGGUGGUCCAUGGGAGUUUGUCGGCCUGCUGAAUCUCUUUGAUCCUCCAAGGCAUGACAGUGCAGAAACCAUCCGCAGGGCUCUCAACCUUGGUGUAAAUGUCAAGAUGAUUACCGGUGAUCAGCUUGCCAUUGCAAAGGAGACUGGGCGAAGACUUGGCAUGGGAACAAACAUGUAUCCAUCUUCUUCAUUGCUUGGCCAAGACAAAGAUGCUUCUAUUGCGGCUCUCCCUGUAGAUGAGUUGAUUGAAAAGGCUGAUGGGUUUGCUGGAGUUUUUCCAGAACAUAAAUACGAAAUUGUUAAGAGGCUGCAGGAGAGGAAGCACAUCUGUGGAAUGACAGGAGAUGGUGUUAAUGAUGCCCCAGCUUUGAAGAAGGCAGAUAUUGGA